rnacentral:lncRNA from 1 species
AAGGACGUUAAAGAAGCGUUACCUGGGAGGGUUGUGUGCUGCCUCUAAUGGCAGUGAUGAUAGCAUCUACUUAUGGGUGCUUCUACAACAUCUACUGAUGGAUGUUAGGUGAUAUGGCAUUUACUGAUGGAUGCCAAUGAAGAUUAGAAAGAUUAGCAUUUACUGAUGAGUGCUACUGGGAUAACAUCUAUUGGGGGAUGUUAGAAGAUAUAGGUAUCUACUGAAGGAUACCAGGAAGGUACACCUACUGAAAGGUGUUGGGAGGCACUUACUAACAAGUGAUAACCAGG